rnacentral:rRNA from 1 species
UCCGUAGGCGGUGCGGCAAGUCGGAAGUGAAACCUCAGGGCUUAACCCUGAGGCUGCUUCCGAAACUGCCGUGCUGGAGUGCGAGAGAGGCGAGUGGAAUUGCGGGUGUAGCGGUGAAAUGCGUAGAUAUCUGCAGGAACAUCCGAGGCGAAAGCGGCUCGCUGGAUCGCAACUGACGCUGAGGGACGAAAGCUAGGGGAGCAAACAGGAUUAGAUACCCUGGUAGUCCUAGCCCUAAACGAUCAGGACUGGGCGUGGGCCUCGUACGGGGCUCGUGCCGCAGCUAACGCGUUAAGUCCUGCGCCUGGGGAGUACGGUCGCAAGGCUGAA